AGUUAAACAGCCCCUUUGCCCGAGCCCCACGAACCCAAGUCAGCUGGCCUGGGCCAGCCAUGGGUAUUUAAUUGCAGUGUAGACAUACCAGAAAGGCUCCAAAAGGUCACAGCAGGCAGAACCAGGCCUAAACAUGAAAUCCUCCUACAACAAAACCAAUGCUUAGUCACACUGCUGCUUGGAAAGACUAGAUCAAAUUUCCACACUUGUCUAUGGUCUCAGCUGCAUACCCACCUCUGCAAAGCACUAUGAGGCAUACAGAUGAAUUUGCCUACCAAAUACUUAACACACGAUGGAAUUUCUGUGCAGUGAAUGGGAAAGGGAGGAGAAAGGAUGGUCCUCAGGCAAUGAACAACCACCUGUAGCAUUGGGCUAGUAAUUUAACCCAGAAUAUUUGGCAGUGGCCAUUAAUUUUGGCAAUUAUCUAUCUGUGUCUCCAUUUCCCCUUCCUAAAUGAGAGCUGAUAAUACAAUACUCAUAAAAAUACUCAUAGAGCCAUAGAGUUUAAGGCCAAAAGGGAGCAUGAGAUAAUCUAGUCUGACUUCCUGUAUAACACAGACCACCAAGCACCCGCACACUAAACCCAACAACCAAAAUUACACCAAGGUAUGGCAGGCAAAGGAGACUAGACUAUCGUACUACAGGUGAAUAGGAGGGUGUAACACAGAGGCACCUUGGCAAAGGGUUCCCGGUUCUUUGGGAACAACUCUCACCUCAGACUUGACAAAUUCAGUACACCAAACACAUGUCUAACAGGACAUUUAACCAUAAAGAGUGACAGUCCACUAGCGGCUAGGGAUCGCCCUUGGUUGUUAACAAGGAGGCAGGGCUGACUAAGGACAGAAGGGCAUAAAAGUCAGACGCAAGCAACAAGAAGUGCUAGCAAACAGGGAGUCUGAGAGACAGGCUGUAGAAGGAAGAAAGAAUAAAAUCAGUGUGGUUCGGAAAGGCCGCAUCACCACUGCAGCUGUGUCCAGAUAGAGAACCAGACCUGGGACACCCCUGCCCAGGUUCUGGUGUGGAUUUGCAGAGCCUGUGGCCUUCAUUUCCCCAUCAUAGAGAGCCAGGCUGGGGAGACCAUCCAGUGUGAGAAGGGCUUGCUGGUAGAGUCUCCCAGGAAGGAGGUGGGAGAGCUACAGGAGGAGGUGGCCAGGCAGAGGGGCAUCCAUGCACAUGAGGCUUUCACUGAAAACAUGCAUAUGGAGGCCUCCAAGGAAGCUAUCUAGCUGGAGAGGACUGCAGUAGCACCACCAGAACAGGAGGAAAUGGCUCCUUCACAGAGAGGAAGCUAGCUGCUGGUUACUUUGGGCAGCAGGGAACGUUCCACCCCUGCUCCCAACCCACCAUCCACAGAGCUAAAAACCGGAGUGCUGCCCUGGCACUAAAGGCUAAGUGGAGGAGAAGAAGCCAUGUACCCCCAAGGCUGGGAGGGUCAUGGCCACCACCACCCAAGAGGACACGAAGGUGGUGAUGGUCAGUGACUCCCUUCUAAGGGGGAUCGAAGCAUUCAUCUGCCGGCCUGACCUGGCAUCCCAGGAGGUGUGCUGCCUGCCCAGGGCACAUAGCGGACACAUUACAGAAGGACUGCCGAGGCUAAUCUGGCCUUCUAACUACUACCCCAUGCUGUCCAUCCCCAUCCGUCCAUCUGUGAGGUAUGACCAUGAGCAGAUCAUGUGACUACCGGGCUCUGGGUGUAAGAGUGAAGGAGCUGGGGGUGCAGGUGGUGUUCUCAUCCAUCCUUCUAGUCAAGGGUAGGGGCCCAGGUAGAGACCGACACCCUGGAGGUGAAUGCACAGCUGUGCAGAUGGUGUCACCAGAAGAACUUUCACUUCCUUGACCAUGGAACGUUGUUCCGAGACGAAGGACUGCUGAGUGGAGAUGGGGUCCACCUUUCAAGGAAAGGGAAGAAUAUCUUCAGACAUAGGCAGGCUAACCUAGUGAGGCAGGCUUUAAACUAGGUUCAAUGGGGGCAGGAGACAAAAGCCCACAGAUAAGUGGGAAAACGAGAU